rnacentral:tRNA from 1 species
GACUCAGUGGUUCAAUGGUAAAGCAGUCGUCUCGGAGCCAGGGGGUCCUGGGUUCGAUCCCCAACGGGGUCG